rnacentral:tRNA from 1 species
AUUUAUAUAGUUUAAAUAAAACAUUAUAAUUUCAUUAUAAAGAAAAUUUAUUAAAAUUUAUAAAUU